rnacentral:lncRNA from 10 species
ACAUCCACUCCAAUUUGCAAACCCCUUUUUCAGAGAACUUCUCUUUCAAGGUUCACAGAUAUUUUCAGCACCUUCUAUUUGGUGGAGUCAGUCCCUUUCAAACCACUGAUUUUACACAGUCACAGAAAUUUGUUAUUGCGAUUGUCUUCUCGGGACUGGGACAAAUUAUGCAAGAACAUGACCUACAGGGUAACGGACAACAUUUACUUGAAUUCGUCUGGAAGUGUGUAAAGUCAGAAGGCAUCACAGAUAACCCAGUGAACUGAGGCACGUUGAAAGAACAAUGGAGGGUGGCAGGAAGACCUGAAUGAUCACCUAUGAAGAACCAAGAUCGUAGUCAUGAACAGCCGGAAAAAAAUCCAAAGCAGAAAACAAGCAAUGCUUUCGGAAGCUGGGGAAAUGGAAAUGGUGUGGCAGUGUGAAGGGAGGAAUAAUAGGGCGAAGGAUCAGAUCGAAGGCCAAAAAUUCAGAACUCCAACAGGAACUGAAAUCCCCUUUUACGUAUGGGCUGGUGCAAGGAGAAUAUAGGACAACA